rnacentral:misc_RNA from 1 species
GGCCUUUCAAAAUUGGUUAACAGACAAAGGGAAGUUCGAUAAAUAAAACAAGAUUACAAGUGAUAUAUCGCAUUUAACUACUUGUAAAUAGUAUCACAUGUGUCUUGAAAGUCUUCUCAUUAGGAUGAAAUGAUGAGCUUUGAAGUUUGAGUAAGUUUAGCAGGUGUAAUAUGGCGGAAAGUGUGACUGUCGGAAAGCGUCCCAGGGAGGAAGACUCUGAGCCAUUAAGUAAUGGAGAUACAGAAAUAGAAAUGCCUUUGAAAAAGGCUAAGAUGGAUGAAGUACAAAAUCUUGUCAAGAAGGACAAUCAAGUGAAUGGGGAUUCAAAAUCAGAAUGUGAGGAAAGCAGCAAAGAUGCUGAUUAUGAAAACUCCAACUCUAAUUCUGAUCCAGAAGAAAAUGGUAAAACAUUUGAGUUAGAUAAUAACAUAGACAAAAUGGAAAAUGGAGACUCUAUGUCAACAUCAGAGAAAUUGGACAAAUGUGACUCUAAUGGGGAUACUAAGUCAGAAAAAGAAACUGAAAUUAAUUCUAUUAAUAAUAAGACAAAUGAAACAGAUGGUGCUGCACCUGGCAAUAAUAAAACUGAAGCCAGCAAUGAGGAGGAGAAUAAAUCCAAGUCAAAUUAUGACAAUAUCGACCAAAACAAUGAAAUUCCAGCAAAGGGGAGUAACGAUUUAGGACUACCUCAGGAUUUUAGUAUGAAAUCAAAAACUGUAAAGGCAGUCUCUGUUAGUGUGAAUGGUGAUAGUGAUAAAGAGAAUGUGGAUGCCGAUGGACCAAUGGAUCUCAGUGCACCUAUGGAUUUAAGUGUAGGCUCAAAGCCCAAAAAGGCUGCCUCAGACCCUGAUAUCAUUAUGCUCUCAGAUGAUUCAAGCGAUGAGGUCUCUCUAGCUGUUGCAAAAAGGCUUGAGGAUAUGACCGAAUCUGAAAUUGAAGAAAGGAAAAAACUAAUUCGCAAACGUCAGAAUGAGUUACGCAAUGAAGAAGCAAAACUAGUGCUGCUGAAGAAGAUACGACAAAGCCAGUCCGUGCCAGCGUCAUCAGAAUCUCAGCAAUCUGCCCCAGCUAAAAUGAUCCCACGUGGCCCCGCUCCGCCCCCUCUUACACGUGGGGGUGUACCAAUGGAUCGUGAUCGAGACCGUGAUCGCAAGCCUAAUGUGCCACCUCAGUUACACCGAGCACACCAGCAACCUGCCCAAGCAAGAUCAACUACACAGCCUCCUCCCUUAGUAAUGGCACCCCAGAGGCAGCAGAACAUGCACUCCUCUGGAUCCACAGCCACUAACUACCUACAGCAGAGUCAUAGGCCUGUGCAACAACCAACACCCCCUGUUGACACACAAACUCCUGCCCAGCGCCAGGCAGCCGCCAAAUUAGCUCUACGCAAGCAACUAGAGAAAACAUUGCUUCAGAUCCCUCCUCCCAAACCUCCACCCCCAGAGAUGAAUUUUGUGCCAAGCUUGGCAAGCAACGAAUUCAUUUAUCUCAUUGGGCUGGAAGAGGCUGUGAAGUUCAUCACAGAUACAGAUGCCAAGGCUAAAGGUCAGAUGGCAGAUGUUAAAUAUAUUUUCAAUCCUUUCACAUGUGUGCAAUGUGGCAGUGAUUUCACUCCAGUUUGGAAACGGGAUAAACCUGGUUCUAAGAAUGUCAUAUGUGAGCAGUGUGUCACGACCAAUCAGAAAAAGGCCCUAAAACAAGAGCAUACAAAUCGUCUUAAGUCUGCAUUUGUGAAAGCACUUCAACAAGAGCAGGAGAUCGAGCAAAGGAUGCAGCAGCAACAGAAAUCUGCGGCUGCAGCUGCAUCUUCAACAGUACAGCAUCACGCAACAUCAGCACCAAGCACAACUUCAGCCACUUUUACAUCAACAGCACAUCAGAACUUGGUACCCGCGCAUGCACAUAGCUCCCGACCGUCAUCUUCCCAGGGGUCUCAUAUAAAUAUCCCAGCUUAUAAUCCACGUCUUACUUUUCCUUACCAAGUAGGCUAUAAGCCACAGGAUAAUGCACAUAGGCAAUAUCUCCUUGAUAUGAUCCCACGAUCCAAUACAGUCUUGUGGAAGAGUUGAUGGGAACAGGCUUCAAGACAUUUGUAGACUAUUUAGAAAUAUUGAGUACUUAGUGUUCCACAAUGUUUCAGUGAGGCUAGAGUAAUUAAUAAAAUGUUUAGACUUCCUUUAGAUUUCCUUUUUUAAACUUGAACAUUUGAGAAAUGAUAUGCCAAGUGUGGCAUUUGGUGGAAAAUAAACCAUAUACUUUUAUCAUAUUUCAUCUAUUUUGACAUAAGCAAGUUAUGUUAUUCAUAAUUAGUAAAACUAAGUUAAGAUAAAAAGAAGACUGAAAUUUGAAAAAAAGAAAACAUCAUCAUUAUCCGAAAAUAAAGGAAUUGCUAAACAUAGAAUUGAAUUACUCUAGCCAUGCAAUAAAUGCAUUGUAAACUGAAACAAUAGAUCCAUUGUAUAUUGUACAAAAAUGCGUAGUAAUUUAUUUAUAAUUCAUAUCAAGGUCCAAAGAACCCCUCAUUUAUUUAGUAUUGUACAUCCCCAUGUGUAAAAACUUUUUUAUGGUCUUGUCUUGUUUAUUAUUCGCCAAUUCUUGAUUUUAUGUUUUUCUUUUUAAGUUAUACCUCCAUGCCUGUCACUAUGCCAUAUGUGAAUAAUUUCAUGCAUUUUUCUCCAUGGAUGAUUUGAGAAUGUAAUCUUAAAUCAGUUCACACGUGACCAUGUCGUAGGUAAAUGUUUCAACUUUCAGCCUUAACUCUACAAAAUCUUGGAUUUUGAUUCGAAAGGUUUUGUAAGCCUUACAUCAAAAGUAAAACAUCUUGGAUAUUAAAAUCUACAUUCCUCAUUGGUAUAAAAUAACUUCGAAGUACAUAUGUUGAAAAUUCCUGUAUUUUUAGGAUUUGUUCACCACACUUACACUCAAGUAAUGUUUUCAUGUUUUCUUUAUUUCAUGAUAAUCAAUCAUACAAUACAGAAGUACAGGGCCUACGCCUAGGCAUUAUUUGCCCUGUUAAAAUUAACUAUAACAAUACAAAUAUAAAACAUGUUUGAAUAAGAAAAUAAUCAGGAAAACUUGAAGACAGUAAUGUAAGCAUCAAAUUAAAAAAAAAGUAGGCCUAGUGCAAUUUGAUUCAUCAUCUGCAGAGAUAAAUCUAGGGCAAUGGAGAGAAUGUGGUGCAUUUGUAUGCUUACGUGAAUCCUAUUGCAGCAUUGCUCCUAUUGUUCUGAAAGGAAUCCCAUAUGAAUAUUUUGUGUAUUGCAAUAACAUAAAUCACAUCUAGCCAAAUCAUAUGAAUAAGUUAAAAAUUCUCUCAUUUAUUAUCAUGUUAGUUCUGUAAUGAUCUUUUUGAACAUUUUUUAAAAUCAAAUUACAUGUAUAGUUCUAGCAAAGUUUCGCUAGGGAUCUCCUCGGGUGCUACACCUAGUUGAGGAUUUGGAAAUUACCUCACACUCAGUUGAAAAUCCACAUGUUCCCUGAUGAGAAUUUAGAAAAGUUGGACAUUUUGUUGACUUGGUAGAAUCUGUAAAAUGAGAAUUUUUGCACCAGAGAAUUUGUUUUUGGAAGAACCCUGGUUUCUAAUUUUCACUAUUCUGUCUCUGAGGUUGUGCAGCAAUAUUCAGUUGUGUAAUAUAUGCUUUAUAUUAUUAUAAGUCUUGAAACUGUAAAAAAGUGCAAAACUAUGUGUUACGAAAUGACUUGAUUUGGAAAUCCGAUUUCUAUCAGAUUUUUAAUACAUGUACAUGUGCAUUGUGCAUGCAUUUUGUUUGCAUUUUGUUUGCAUUCUUCAUUUUAUAUGAAUUGUUAUUUAUCUUGCAUCCUCCAAACACAUGAGUCCCAACAUCAUCUACUCUGUUCCAUCAUUUGUAGGAUUAUGUGUGGACCCCUGCAUUGGGAGGAUGCUAUUUUGUUCUUAUCUUGUUAUGUUUAGUUAAGCAUUUAAAAAUCAAGUAGAUCCUAGUUUCAGUUUUGAAGAUGUCUUAUUUAUAAUAAAUACAAAUGUACAGUGCAAUUUUUAGCUUUAAAGGCCACAUCUAUUAAAUCACAGCUAUGCAUGUUGAACAAAGGUGAUACUAUCAAAUCUGAAUUUGUGCAUGUAAGUUGGCAGGUCUUCAUAGUGAACUGAACAUGUACAACCUAUUCUCUACGUUUUAUAACCUGUGAGUGUUAUUUAUGGGAACAUAUUGUAGAAAACUAUGAUUUUUAAAGCUUUAAAGCACUCAGUAACUGGUUAGUCAAAUAAUUGGCUUAUUGUUGUAAAAAAGAUACUUUGGUGUACUGAUCAUAUCCAUUGAAUAUAUCCUUGUCCAUAUUGGGCUGUCAAACAAACAUUAAUUUGGCUUAUAUACUCUCAUCAUUUAUGUUAUGUCAUAAGUUGUAUCCACAUCCCAAUCAUAAUUAGUUACUUGAACUCGCAGUAUAAUUGGGAUGUUGGAUUGGUAAUUUAGCCUUAUGUAAGAGUGGGUAGUAUCAGCAGCCUGGUUAUACUAUGACACAAUCCAAAGGUGUAAGGUAUGAUCUGGCAGUAGAAAUCACUCACACUGGAGACUACCAAUUAAGUCCCUGUUGUUUUUAGGCCAAUCUGACACAAAUCAGCUUUUCAGUGUGUCACUGUAGUAUGCUUAAAAUAUGAUUUUUUAAGAAGGUAAAAAUAAUUGUUUGACCAGCAAAUUCAGUCAAUGGAAAUUUAUACUUAAAUUGUUAUCUGUGAAAUUGUCUUGGUUUGACAUGUCUCAGUUCAACGUCAGGUUAUCAUAGUUUUCUUAUUAAGUUUUUUUCUGAAUCACAUUAUUGUGGCCUAUUACUUUCUGUUGUUUCAUACCCAUGUAUAGGCAAGAGUAAUAUGAAGUAUGAUGUAAAAAGAAUUUGUAGAAAACGUAAUUGUAAAAUAUGCCAAACACUCAACACAUGAGGGUAAGAAUUGUAUAUUAUGAUUGGAUAUAAAUAAAUAGAAGUUAAAAAGUACUGAAAUCAUGCGUCGUUGUCUGUUUGUUCAAAGUGGAAGCUUUUCCUCAGAAACCCACCAAUAAGUUUUCUAUAUCUAAAUAGUUCAAGUAUCGGAGUAUAUUUCCUCAAAAUAAUUAAGCUGCACACAAUUGAGAAUUUAAGAUA